rnacentral:rRNA from 1 species
UUAAAUUGAAGAGUUUGAUCAUGGCUCAGAUUGAACGCUGGCGGCAGGCCUAACACAUGCAAGUCGAACGGUAACAGAAAGCAGCUUGCUGCUUUGCUGACGAGUGGCGGACGGGUGAGUAAUGUCUGGGAAACUGCCUGAUGGAGGGGGAUAACUACUGGAAACGGUAGCUAAUACCGCAUAACGUCGCAAGACCAAAGAGGGGGACCUUCGGGCCUCUUGCCAUCG